rnacentral:rRNA from 1 species
UUUCUUUGCUGACGAGCGGCGGACGGGUGAGUAAUGCCUGGGAAUAUGCCUUAGUGUGGGGGAUAACUAUUGGAAACGAUAGCUAAUACCGCAUAACGUCUUCGGACCAAAGAGGGGGACCUUCGGGCCUCUCGCGCUAAGAUUAGCCCAGGUGGGAUUAGCUAGUUGGUGAGGUAAAGGCUCACCAAGGCAACGAUCCCUAGCUGGUCUGAGAGGAUGAUCAGCCACACUGGAACUGAGACACGGUCCAGACUCCUACGGGAGGCAGCAGUGGGGAAUAUUGCACAAUGGGGGAAACCCUGAUGCAGCCAUGCCGCGUGUAUGAAGAAGGCCUUCGGGUUGUAAAGUACUUUCAGUCGUGAGGAAGGCAUUGUAGUUAAUAGCUGCAGUGCUUGACGUUAGCGACAGAAGAAGCACCGGCUAACUCCGUG